rnacentral:tRNA from 1 species
GGGGUCGUGGUGGAAUUGGCAGACACGCUAUCUUCAGGCGGUAGUGAGGCAACUCGUGUGCGUUCGAGUCGCAUCGACCCCACCA